CCGUGAGGGGGAUGAUGUAUUACUAUGAAGCUCUCAAGAUGCUGACUUUUCUUGAAUCCGCAUCUGAGCGUCGAUUGAUUACUG